rnacentral:pre_miRNA from 1 species
UAACUACUCCCUCCGUCAGAAAAUACUUGUCGAAAGAAUGGAUGUAUCUAGAUGCAUUUUAGUUCUAAAUACAUUCAUUUCUAUCCAUUUUUGCGAUAAGUAAUUCCGGACGGAGGCAAAAUCAA